rnacentral:rRNA from 1 species
AAAGCCUGGGCAACUGGGCAAGUAGAGUGGCGCACGGGUGAGUAACACGUGGGCAACCUACCUUCGAGUGGGGAAUAACUCCUCGAAAGGGGAGCUAAUACCGCAUAAGACCACGACCUCUUCGGGGGUCGCGAUCAAAGGUGGCCUCAUCAAGCGGAGUGUCGGGGACGAUUUUCCCAAGAGGAAGAUGGUCCUUAGCACUUUACUCAGUGAAGCUGUUGCUCGAAGAGGGGCCCGCGUCCCAUCAGCUAGUUGGUAGGGUAACGGCCUACCAAGGCGACGACGGGUAGCUGGUCUGAGAGGACGACCAGCCACGCGGGAAUUGAGAUACGGUCCCGACUCCUACGGGAGGCAGCAGUGGGGAAUCUUGGGCAAUGGGGGAAACCCUGACCCAGCGACGCCGCGUGGGGGAUGAAGGCCUUCGGGUCGUAAACCCCUGUUAGGUGGGACGAACAUCUCUCAGUGAAUAACUGGGGGAUUUGACGGUACCACCAGAGAAAGCCCCGGCUAACUCCGUGCCAGCAGCCGCGGUAAUACGGAGGGGGCGAGUGUUGUUCGGAAUUACUGGGCGUAAAGGGCGCGCAGGCGGCUUGGCAAGUCGAGUGUGAAAUCCCUUGGCUUAACUAAGGAAUGGCGCUCGAAACUACCUCGCUGGAGGGCGGGGGAAGGGAAGUGGAACUCUCGGUGUAGGGGUGAAAUCUGUAGAUAUCGAGAGGAACACCGGUGGCGAAGGCGGCUUCCUGGCCCGUACCUGACGCUGAGGCGCGAAAGCGUGGGGAGCAAACAGGAUUAGAUACCCUGGUAGUCCACGCCCUAAACGAUGGGCACUA